rnacentral:rRNA from 1 species
UAGGGAAUAUUCCGCAAUGGGCGAAAGCCUGACGGAGCGACGCCGCGUGAGCGAUGAAGGUCUUCGGAUCGUAAAGCUCUGUUGUUAGGGAAGAACAAGUACCGGAGUAACUGCCGGUACCUUGACGGUACCUAACCAGAAAGCCCCGGCUAACUACGUGCCAGCAGCCGCGGUAAUACGUAGGGGGCGAGCGUUGUCCGGAAUUAUUGGGCGUAAAGGGCGCGUAGGCGGUCUCUUAAGUCUGAUGUGAAAGCCCCCGGCUUAACCGGGGAGGGUCAUUGGAAACUGGGAGACUUGAGUGCAGGAGAGGGAAGCGGAAUUCCAUGUGUAGCGGUGAAAUGCGUAGAGAUAUGGAGGAACACCAGUGGCGAAGGCGGCUUCCUGGCCUGUAACUGACGCUGAGGCGCGAAAGCGUGGGGAGCAAACAGGAUUAGAUACCCUGGUAGUCCACGCCGUAAACGAUGAGUGCUAGGUGUUAGGGAGUUUCCACUCCUUAGUGCUGCAGUUAACGCAUUAAGCACUCCGCCUGGGGAGUACGGCCGCAAGGCUG